GCUGGCGGCAGGCCUAAUACAUGCAAGUCGAACGGCUCUUCGGAGCAGUGGCGGACGGGUGAGUAACGCGUGGGAAUAUGCCCUUUGGUACGGAACAACUGAGGGAAACUUCAGCUAAUACCGUAUGUGCCCUUCGGGGGAAAGAUUUAUCGCCAUUGGAGUAGCCCGCGUUGGAUUAGCUAGUUGGUGAGGUAAAGGCUCACCAAGGCUACGAUCCAUAGCUGGUCUGAGAGGAUGAUCAGCCACACUGGGACUGAGACACGGCCCAGACUCCUACGGGAGGCAGCAGUAGGGAAUCUUGCGCAAUGGGCGAAAGCCUGACGCAGCCAUGCCGCGUGAAUGAUGAAGGUCUUAGGAUUGUAAAAUUCUUUCACCGGGGAAGAUAAUGACGGUACCCGGAGAAGAAGCCCCGGCUAACUUCGUGCCA
rnacentral:rRNA from 1 species